GCCGGAGUGGUGGAACUGGUAGACGCGUCGGACUCAAAAUCCGGUGACCUUCGGGUCGUGUGGGUUCAAGUCCCACCUCCGGCACCA
rnacentral:tRNA from 1 species